UAUCUCUCUAACUGAUCCGACGAACAUAAUCCCUCUCUCUCCUAAGCUCUGGUUUCGCUUUCGCACAUCUUCUCCCCUACCCACACUGUUCUCUUCUCUCUGGUAUUAACGACCUUGACAGGCCAAGAGACAAGUCGCCAGCCGCUACUCGCUGUAACUUCUCCUGCGAAUCAGCAAAGCAGGUUUAUGGUAGGGAUGGAUUUGGGUUCUCCGAAUGCAACAUUGGAAGAGAUCAAUGCUCAGAAAACGGAUGGUUCCCUUUCUGUUGGAAAACUAGACCUUAAUCUUGCAGUGAGUAAAGAAGAAGGGAUUGACGGUUAUGGUCAUGAGACAGGGGCAUUGGAUGAUACCGUUCCUGUGUAUUUGAAUAAGCAGAGGCAACGUGACUCCCCUUUAUCUCCUGCUGGUGUUAUGCCUGAGGAGUCAGAUUCAUUUUGCUUGAAAUCCAGUCUGAUAGGGAGGACUGAAUUUGAUCAUGAUGAGGUUGGGGAAAAAUCUUUGGACCAUGAUCCAGAGGGCUUCCAGUCUCCCUUGAAGGACAAGCAUUACCAAGGUGAAAUUGGGGCCUUAUCUGACAGUCCCUCGGGUAAAUCAUCAUACCCAGGUGAAUCAGAAACGUCUCAGAUUGAAAAAAGAACUGAAGAAACUCAUCAGUUGUUGGAAUGUACAGUUGACACCAACUAUCAGGAAGAAGAAGAAGAAGAUAUGGAGAAUCCAUGCCAAAGAUACUCCCCUCUGCAUGAUGAAAAAUUAAAGGAUUCUUCUGGCAUUUUGUCUAGAGAUUCACCACCUGAGAAAACUGAAUCCACCCAUGAGGAAGUAGAAGAGGGAGCUUCUGAUUACCAUGCAAGAAAGCUAUUGUCCCCUGAAAAGAUGCAAGACAACAUUGACAAGUCUACAAGGGAAGACUUCUACCAUUCAAUGAACUCACCAUCUGAGAAUGGAAAGAUGGAGCGGCUUCAUUCUGAUCUGCACUCAGAGUCUCUGAAGGUUACCCCGAAAAGAUCUGCAUCAUCGAGGAGGCAGAUGUCAGUUUCUCCUGAAAGGUUACCUUAUAUAGAAAAAUCUCCAUAUGGAAAACCAUCUUCACCGCAGAGUGAUCGUGACCCAUCAUAUUCCCCCAGAUCAUCUAGAAAGAGACACUCACCUUCUCUUGAAAAGUUUGGUGGAGAUAGUAAAAGAGUUACAUCCCGGGGUAAUUUAUCUCCAUUUGGACGAACUUCUAUUUCUCCAGAGAAGCAAUCUCGUCAGGAUUCCCAGCGCAGGGGUGAUAAAUCACCUAAAAGACAUUUUUUGCCACCAGGUGAUAGAAGACGAGAGAGGUCCGUGUCAAGAUCCCCUGUUAGGCGGAGGGAUUCCUCUGGAUCCAAAAGGGACCACCGGGACAGAUCCCGAUCAAGGUCACCUUAUGAAAGAGAUCAUUACCGAAAAUCCCCAAGGAGGAGGUAUUCCCCAAGGCGCAGAUCUCCUCCUUCCAGGCACUAUUCUCAUCGUCGUUCUCCGAGGAGAAGACCUUGGUCGCCUCCUCCUAAUCGGAACACUGGAGUAGGGAGACCUGGAAACAAUCUAUUUGUUGCAGGCUUUAGCUUUGUAACUACAGAAAGAGAUCUUGAAAGGAAAUUUUCAAGGUUUGGCCGUGUUAGAGAUGUCCGCAUAGUUCGGGAUAAGAGGUCGGGUGAUUCUCGUGGUUUUGGCUUCCUAUCCUUGGAAAGAGAUGAAGAUGCGGAUGCUGCAAUUCGAGCUCUUGACCAGACUGAAUGGAAUGGCCGGAUUGUCCUAGUAGAGAAAUCAAAAACACCAACCCGUUGAAGCCCUGUUUGUUUGGUCAUUGUUGCAGUGGUCAAAGCUAGUUGUGAAGUUUGAACUUAUUGGAGAUUGAGUUCGGCUGUCCCAAUUUUGUUUCAUACUUACAGUCUGCGAAAAUAUGGGUUCAUCAGCAGUUAGAAAUGAAAGUUCUAUGCCUUAUUUUGUACCUGAGAAUCUGUACCUAAAGUUCCUUGUGCCUGGAAAUUCUGGACUAGAACAUGAUUUCACAAUUUGCCAUUUUCAACUGAUCAUUCUGGAGUACAUGAGCGUCUAUUUUCAGUGGUUCACUCUAAUAGUUUUGUCUCUUAUGCUGCAGGCGCUGAUGACCAAUCAUAAGUAGGAAAUGGAGCACAAUGGCUAGUAAUGUAUUUAAACUGUUGGAAAAUUCAUGUAGCUGGAGAUUUUGGACGUGAACACUACUCUGAUUGUUUUGGAGUUUGUGUUUCUUGUCAAUGUUUGCUACUUGGCUUCCAACCAUAUUGCCUGACUAGGCUGGAUCAGUGCACAGUGAAGAUUUGGUACUGAUCAUGAUAACAUCCCUCCUCACCUUUACUCUUUUUUUUUUUUCCUUUUUUCCCAAUUUAGUAUGCCUACAGUACAUUGUUUGGAUAUUGUUGUAUUGCAGGCCAUAUGACAUGUUCUGAUGUUCCUCAGCAUAACCAUAAAUUGAAUAUCAUCAAAUUUGAUGGUCCAAACACUACUUUUGUUCAAGCUCCUUCUAGAUCUGGGACUUUCAAAUAUCAACAAGAAAUGCUGUUGGGCAUUUCAAACUAAUCACUGUGGACAUAUACCCCAUUCCAAUUUCCCCUAUUGGUGUCUGAAACCAACCAUCAUGACACAUUCCAUUACUUGGCUCGUUGCUAGAUGAUUGAUGUGGCCAUCUGUUUCCGCAUGGUAACUUUGAGGGUAUCUAUUCUCCUUAUUUAAGACGUGUUGCAACGGUAAGUAGUAAUGCAAUGCUCAUGUGGUUACUCUUUCUAAGUGCCUUAUUUGUGUCCAGAUGUCCGCUAAUAAACCAUUAGUCCUUUCAUGCUUGGCGAAUAGUCUUGAUGAGAAUUCUAUCGUGAAACUCAGCAUUUUGGGGUCAAACUUUGUAUGUUUCUAUGACUGUUGGUUGGAUGCUCAAACAUUGAUUCUUUUCACCAUAAGGAAGAGGAAGCAAUGAUCUUAAGAUUGAUCACACUUUUGAACUACAGCUGACUGGGAAUGUGUUGGGCACUAAUGCUUGAAAUGAAUUAGCUGUUGGCAACAUAUCCAUUGAUCAGUUGUUGUAUCAAGAGAGGUAUGAUCAUCCCUUAGCUGCAAUGAUGGAGGCUAUCUGGUUGUUAGAGGGGAGGGGGAUGGUAAGGAAAUAGGUUAAUUAAUGAUCUUACGAAAGAAAUUGGUUUGCUUCUGAUCUCACAAUGUGGAUGUGGCUGUCUAAUUUAUUAGUACUUGUAGAAGCACAUCCAUGUAUCAUUCCAUAGAUUGUCAUCUUUUAGCAGAUUCAGCAGGAAGGACCCGGAUGUCUUCAACCAUGGGAUUUGAUGCUCUGAUAGGGACUGGAAGGGGUAAUUUCAACCUCAUACAAUAGGGAUGAGAGUGAAUGAUGAAUCCAAAGUCCACUCAUAGGGUCAGAUCACCAUGGGUGAAGGAAAAUUUAAUACUGACAGCAAAAUGGUAUGCAAUUUCAUGGACUCCCAAUAAAUUAUGAACUGAGUUUUCCUUUAUCUAAGGUGGAGGAAGAAUCUUUUAGCUAUGGCCAUCGGUACCAUCAGAUGACCACGGGAAACAUGUUAUUUUCCUUCACUAGUGGGGGAGAAAGAAUCCCCAACCCAUUGGUGAUGUGAUCAUAUGAUAGGGUUUUUAUUACAUCAAUAAACUUCCGCUCUCUAUUUGUAUAUUCAAAAGUAUCCUUCCCCAUGGUCAUUUGAUGGUAACGUAUGGCCGUGAGGGCAAGGGAUUUUUCUUUCUCCCAUACUGGGAAGGAAAAUACCCUUCCCCUUGGUUAUCUGACAGUACCGAUGGCCAUGGGCAAGGGAUUUUUCCUUUCACCUGUUAAAUAAACUUUGGUUUAUUGUUUUUCGAAUUCUUCAAUAGAGGGUGAUAGUUUGUUGAUGAGAUAAGAGUUUUAAUUUAUGAUCACAUCACCUCUGGGUUGGGGAUUAUUUCUCUCUUAACAGUGAGAAAAACUUUUGCCAUAGGUUAUUAAUUCCUUUGUAAAUUGCCUGGGAGGAUUAUGGAAAAUUUCCUUUGGCUUUCCGCAAGUAAAGCUGAAUAAAUUGUCUGAACCUUUUUUCGCCAAUCCUAGUCCUAUUAUGCCCCAUUUUUUUUUUUUUUUAAUUGGACUGGAUCACUUUUGCCAGUUAACAACUUGAGGGAGAGGAAGAAGUUAACUAUUGUUUCCUUAAAUAAAUUGUGAAGUGUUUUUUUAGGGCAAGAGCUGUGAUGUUCAGAACUUAGUAAAUAUGUGUAGAAAAUGCGUGCCAUAGAAUAUGUUUGGGAAGAGAGUAGCAUUAUAAUGCAUGGAAAUAUUACAAAUGUAAGAAUAAUGAAGGGGUAGAAGUGGUAAUAUAUUUAAGAUGAGGAGUAAGGUAGGGUGAUGUAGAAAUAAGUUGGACAAAAGACUAUAAAGGAAAGGCUAAAUGUCAUCUACUAGGGUGAAGAGGGAAUCGUUUCUUACAUAGUGCUUUGAUUCUAUGAUUGGAUUCAAGAAUGGUUGGAUUUAUCAUUAAUUUCAGGUUUGAAAAUAUCCUUUUAGGUUGAAUCGAAGUGUCAUAUCAAGUGGUUGAAGAGAUUUUCUCUUUCACCAUGGGUGAGGAAACCUUUGUCAGGAAGUAAAUGGGAAGAUUCAUUUAUUGUUAUUGAAAUGGGUUCUAAGCAUGCGGUCAAAUAUUUGUUUUGAAAAUCUAUAACUAUCAGAUCAUAAUUGUUGUCAUAAUAAUAGUAAAGCUGCGUUUGGUAGUCAUCCAUAGAAAUGUCUUUCAGUUCUAUGUGAAGAAAAAAAGAGAAUAAAGCAUUUGGUGUCAAUUUGGUGUUUUUUGGAAUGUAAAGGGGAAAAAAACUUAGAAAUGUAAAACGAUGGAAUGGUGAAACCUUGUUUUGUCAUUUUGAUUUUGUUUUAAGUACAAAAAAAGUGAAGAACUAGGGUAAUAGUUUUUGAAACAUAUUUAUCAAAUACUUUUUUUUUUUUUUUUUCAAAAUGAUAUUUUGAAACAGAAAUUGAAAAUUCUGUUUUUGACACAAAACGUCGUUUGUAGGAUUGAAUGACUAUUAUAUGCAAUCUUAAGUGUUCAUGGAAAAACAUGUAGAUAUUUGAUUUAAUUAGUUUCUCAAAUUUGGCACUAGGCCAAUCCAUAGACUCGCUAGAUGUCAAUCGUUUAAAAUUUGCCAUGUUACUUAUCUUGGCAUUAGUGGUCCACUAGGAAGGUGUUUUGGUGGUGGGGGGUGGGAGUAGGUGGGGGCGGAGGAGUGGAGGAGCUGUGGAGGGGAGGACUUGAGAAAUGGUUUAAAUGAUUUUUUUUUUUAUAAUAAUAAUAAAUAAAUAAAUAAAUAAAAAAGAUUACUAGAGAUGAUUGGAGACUAAUCCCAAACAACCUCGAUUAUCCAUAUUUAUUCUGAUUGCUAUAGAUCUUGAUUCUGAUCCUUAUAACCUUGCUUCACCAUGACUGUGGAUACUGUUGAAUUGGCAUGAGAAGAGAAUUUCGACUAUGUAAAAUUGGUAGUGAGAGUUAAGGAUGAUCAAAAGGAGUAUAUGUUAGCAAUUUCCCAUAUGUGAUAUAUUGAAUGUAUAUCGAUUUGUGAUGAUUGUCUUCCUUGAUGGGUUAAAAGUUAUAUUUAUCAAUAUUUGAUUGAUCUCUUCAAUAGCAACAUUCUUGCAAUUGCAGAGAUUAAGUUCCUUCUUGUGUUUCGACUUGUCUACAUUUGGCCUUCACGUAUGUAAUAUUGUUGUUUAUCAUCUUAUAAUCAAGUUUAUGAAAUCAGAUCUGGUCCUUUUCCAAUUAAUAUCCAAUUAGUCAUUCAACAGCUGAGAAAAUUUUUGGAUGGCUAAUUGGUCAGCCCAAUAAUUAGAUUUUAAAUCUAAUAAUCUAAUCACCUGAUCACAUCAGCAGUGGUACGUGGCCCUUCUAUGGUUCUAUACAAGUGUCACGUGAAAGGAAAAUUAAUCCUGGAUUUUUAUAGCUUUUUGACUUUCUUAGUCUCUACCCAGACUCCAGAGGCUGCACCGGUCCAGGUCUACCAGUCAGGUUGAGAUUACCGUUAAAAUUUUAAAAGGAAAGGGCCGUUGAUUAAUUUGAAGUUGUGAUUGUGAAGCAUGUGAGACUCAAGGCACUAUGGAUCAAAGGCACUAUGUGAAGCAUGUGGACCACUUGUAUUACAAGGAGAUGAGGUCAAUAUAUUAUGGAGGUGAAACUUGGGCGGAUGUGAUUGGAUAGAAUAUAUAAUAACAUUAUCAUAAUCAUAAGAUAUUAAUUAAUGGGCCAUUUAUUUUGCUUUUCUUUGUUUUAAGUACAAAGUAAUCAUGGGGAGAAGCGCUAAGGAUUGGAUUAUAGAUAAUCUUUGUUAAGGCUGUGUUUGGUAGCCAAUUGGAAUAAAAUCAUUAUUUUUGAGAAUCCCAUGGCGUUUGAAAUCACAAAGGUGAUGCCCUAACUUUGUUAAUUACUUGUUUAAGACUUGUAAUGCAGAGAAUCUUUGACUUUGUAUCUUGAUAAAUAAUACCAUUAUAGUUGAUCUUAGGUUUCCAUCAAUUGAAUUUAGUUUUUACAUAUGA